UAUCUCUGUAAAAUAAUCUUUUUUUUAACUAGCGGGGCAGUGAAAUCUUUGCUUUGUGCUAAAGUCAACAGUGACAGAGUUUGAGCUCAAAUAAAUGCCGUGAUGUCUGGAGCCCUUUGCAGAAGGCAGAAGGCGAGCUUCUACAAUGGGCUCCUGUGUGGCUUGCCAACAACAAGCACCGGCUAUUUUGCACAGAUGGACAUGGCCAACGCUGAAGGACACUUUUCCUAUGCUGAUUUCCGUCUACUUUCAUCACCCUGCAUCGAACGACCUGAAAGCACUUCCCCGUCGAUGUACUUGGCUAUAUCUACGUCUGACCUGUCUGCCAUAUGUAAUAUCAAAGCCUCUGUCAGCGUGGAGCUGAAUGGGAACAAAAGAGAGGCCUCCAUUAAUGAUUAACUGUUCUAAAAGCCCCGGCUUUUGUAUUCCCAUGGUGCCCAGGCUAUCUGGCCACCAUGUGACAUGCUCACAGCAUUUUUCGAGCAGAUUGGGGGAAAGCUAGUGAGCAAACACAGGUGCUUUGGAGCAGCGUUGCCGACGCUGUCAGGGACAACCACAAACAAGAGCAGCUAUGCCUGGCUAAAUGAAUCCCCACCCCUCCCAACACUAUCACCACCUCCACCCCCCACUGCCCGCUCUCUGUCGCUAGCUAACUUGUUUGAUAGCACCCUAUAGCUUUCUCCUUGCAAAGCUUUACUUCCAGAGAGCCCCCCCCCCCCUGCCAAUACAAGUCCAACGUCCACCACAGCACAACUUCUCACACCCUCCACAGAAACAAACAAAUAAAAGUGAGGACGGGCGACCACUUCUUUGAGGUGAUGGCAUUUGCUGUGGUCACGACUAGUGGGAGAGCAAACAAAUGAAUGGUGUUGGAGGUUUUCACUUUCCAAACCAAACUAAAUGUCUUUUAGUUCAAGUGGGGCAAUUCCACUGACCCUGGUGUCAGACGCUGUUUAAGGGUUGCACACUCUUGCACUUGAAAUGCAGAGAGGAGGCCGUAAGAACAUUAAACAGGGCUUGAGUAUUGGUACACAUGAGCCAUGGUGAGUUGAAACACCUCAAAGUGACAAAUACAACUUAAAUAUGGGUAAUAAACACUUUAUUUUUGCUUUCUAAAUGUUGACAACAAAGUCAAAAGGAGGUGUUUGGAGCACUUAACCUUUUCAUCAGGCUGACUGAUUGUUCACAGUGGCUGGAGGGGGGGCUGUGUAGCUCAACUUUGAUAAGACAAUCAGAUGAUAGGAUGUCGUUAUCUUAACAUGGCUUUCCGGCUGGGGGACAAAUGAACAGUGUGUGAUAACAGGAACAAAAGCUUGGCUCUUAUUGGCUGACUUCUCCAAAGAAAGGAAAACAAAUUAUCAGGAUGGAAAAUUCACAAUCGGAGCAGUUUAUUUCAUUUUCAAUUUUCUACUCAACCCAGGUCACAGGAACAGUUUUUUUCUCCCCCUAAAUCACUCAAAUAUUUAUAUUGUCUCCUGUUGGUUUCACACUCUGCAAUUACCUGUGCCUAUAAAGCCGGGAUUAUCGCUGGAAGAUGAUAAAAAACGUUUUAAAACAAACAUCAACAGGAGAGGAAAUGAAGUUGUAAAAGGGAGAGCGAUAGAUGCAGAAAAAUGGAGACUGCUAAAGAGUGACUGGAAAAUAAAUACAGGCAUAAACAGAGAGAAAUGAAAGAAGAGGAAAAGGUGUGUGAGAGAAGAAGUGAUGGAAAGAUGGAGAAAGAAGACGGUCAGAAGUGGUUUCUUCAGAGCCCCGCUACUGAUGGGUAAAAACGUCACUUCUGUCUGGGUUUUCUGACUUUUGGAGCCAGGGAGGGGUGUGUAUACUCAAGGACUCACUCAGGGCUCUGUUUGCUCUAUUGCCAAAAAAUGAUUGGAAAGAAUAUUGGUGCCCUGGCACGAAAUGUUAGAACUUUCUUAGAAAUAUAAAAACUCUGUAUAAAUGGCAUGAAUAAAAUAUUUAUUUUCAAACCAAA